rnacentral:tRNA from 1 species
UAGAAGCCAAAAUAGAGGCAGUUCACUGUUAAUGAAUUAAUUGAUUUUCCUAUUAAAUUAUUCUAA